rnacentral:lncRNA from 1 species
ACGAGUUCCAGGGUCAGAUUCACCCUCCAAAACGACAGGGGUGUUCUCACUGAUCCGAUGACAACAGGCACUGCAAGUGGAGACUCCUACCCCGCACUCGCACUCGCACUCGCAGAUGCGCAUUUUCCGCGAGGAUAUGCGGCAAACAUGCAGCGUCUGAAUUUGGAGCCUAGUUUCUUUCAAAAAAAAUAAAGAAUUUGGAGCCGAGGUGGGGAUAAAGGCAGGGAAUAUGUCAUCCAAGGAAGAAACUAGCUGCGGUGUAUCUGCAUACGUGUUCUUGGUCGAGAAAACUAUGCUGCUACUUGCAACGUGGUAGCAUUGGACACUACAAAUUCAUGAAAAAUCAACAAACUGGUGGAAUUUUCUUUUUUCCAGAGUAGCACGAAAAUCAACAAACGUUCUCUUUUGAAGUCAGGAGAAGGAUUCACUAGUGCACAGCUCUGGUGGAGUUUUCUUUUUUCCAGAGUAGCACGAAAAUCAACAAACGUUCUCUUUUUGAAGUCAGGAGAAGGAUUCACUAGUGCACAGCUCUAAUUUUUUUUGAGGAAAUUGCAGAGCUCUAACAAAGUUUAGAUUAGUACGGAGCUCUAUUUUUUUAGGAAAUUGCAGAGCUCCAAUAAAGUUUAGAUUAGUACAUAGCUCUAUUUUUUUUAGGAAAUUGCAGAGCUCUAAUAAAGUUUAGAUUGAGCAACUCCAAGAGUCUAAAAAAAAUCUCCUCCAAAACUAUCUAUUGGGGACUCUACUAAAAAUUUAUUCUCUUAAAAUCAUGUCAUCCCACAAUAAUAAACUUCCCAAUACUUCAAAACUGACCACGUCAGCACCAAGUAGCUUCAAAAUGCGCCGCCCAUGCUCCGGCCGUGCCGCGUCGGCGGCGGCCUCCGCUCGCUGCUGCUUCUGCUCCUCUUCACCGUGCUCCUCUCCGUCGCCACCUUCUCCCUCCACUCCCCCGACCCCCUCGUCGUCAUCGACGCGCCGCCGUGGAAGCCACAGCUAAUUCGCCCAGUACGGCGGGCCAAUCGUGGCCCUACCCGCAGCAACAUCGGGGCGCACUCCGGUCUCAGCAGCAGUAGACCGGGCACGUACCACCCGCCCGGUCCCACCCAUCGAUGCCGCACCCCGCGUGGAAGAAGUGCGGGCACGGUAGCACCCGCAUGAGCUCGUCGCCCCCGGCGGUGUAGUCGAACAGCCAGAUGUCGCAGCGCUUGCCCGCAUUCCCGCCGCCACCUUCACCUGGGCGUACGUCACGAGCGUGUUGGCACCGAGCGCGCGCUCGCUGUCGUCGUGCACCGCGCCGCCGGUAGGCUCGUAGGCGCACGAGGAGGCGGCGGCGGAUCGGAGACGCUCUUCCACUGGAAGAGCAUCCGUUGGGCAGUGCGUCCAUUGGGCAGCAACCGCGAGCGUUUCAGAGCUCUUAUACUACCUGGAGGCGCCACCGCAGCGUCUUGGAGUGAACGCCACUGCGCCGUCGAUGGAAGGGAGGCGGAGGAAUUGAUGGAGACUACGAAGGACCGGAUCGAACCCGCGCGCCGGCGAAGUCCAGUGGCGUCUCGUGGCCGCAACAACUUUUGAAGUACCACACCGUUAUGUCCUCCACCACUACCUCGAGCACGCACCGCCACUCCCCCGACGGUGUCCAUCACCCACACACGUGCACUCCCUUGACGCCGUCAUGCGGCAGAGAGCAAUUGGGCUGCUUGUCACGGAUGUUGAAGCCACAUUGCCGGAGCCGCCCGCUAGUGGACCUGAGGGACCGCACCAUGCGCUCCACGGACCCCUCCGCGAUGGGCGGCUCACAGAGCACUGUGGCGUGACCGCACCGCCGGCUCAGCCAGUAGAAGCACGUGUCGACAUGGAUCCCAGGGGACGCGGUGUUGAGGCAUCGAGACAUGCCCUGGGCGCCGAGCGUGGUCGUGGCUCAUCUCCCGGUCGCGGAGGUGAAAAACGCCACGAGGACGCGCCGGAAGCGGGUGCGGGUGAGGAUCAUGACGGUAAAGGAGACUACGAAACAGUACUAGAGCGAUCCGAGAAAAACGAUUCGAGGUGAUUGUGGAAGAACCAGUAUGCGGGGCGAUGGAGGUGCUUUUAGCGUCCAUGCAUUUUUACGUGGAGGAUGCAGGGUUGUUGGAGGUAAUUUUUUUUUGUUUUUCUCCAAAAUAAGAUUCUGGGGUAAUUUUGAAGGAGCUCCUGUAGUUGCUCUAAGUAUCAACAAGCACAAACCAGAGAACAGGCUUGUUGGGCCUGUUAUCCGAGCGGUUCUCAUAGAAGCAAUGGCCCAAAACAAGAAAAGGCCCAAAGAGGCCCAGGAGUUCUCGGCGGCAGAGCGGAGAAUCGUUCGGUUCUGUCUGCGAGUUCUUUAGUACCACCUCGGCUGCUGAAUGCGGACGCGCCGCAAGCUCCCGCUAUAAGAUGAGCGCCCCGUGCCCCGUUGCUCCAUACUUACCUGGACGGGGUCGACGGGCGAUCAAGAAGGCCCGUGGCCUAGGUCAGUGGCCCGCAUUGCACUUGGCGGGUGCGCUGGCUUACCAUCUCCCCAAGUGGGAGAGUGGACGUCAUAAUUUGUGGUAGAGGGGGUACGCGUUCGCGCGGCCCCCACCAAUUCUAACAAAUCAAAAUGUUGUCCUUAGCCCUCUGGGCUGUCUCUAGAAACAGGGGCGUUGCUGCAAUUUGUGGUAGAGGGAGUAUUUUACUCGUAUUAAAAAAAUAUUAGCAGUUUCUAGUUGUAUGGUUUGAUCUGAAUGGUUGAAAGAAAUAAAGUUGCGUUAUUUUAUUAGCACGUGCAAAGCCACGCGGCCAAGCUGACCCAGCCAUGGCGACCCAUGGCCUUCUCCCCUCGUCACUCUUCGCAUCCACCACCGCCAUUCGCGCCAUCGCAGCGCCAACCCGCACCUGCCACCGCGUACUCUCCUACGGCACCCGCCGCCGCCGCCCCCUGGCCUUCGGCCGCCGCGCGCCGGCGAUGGACGCCCUCCGCGUGACGGGAGCCGCGGAGCCGCUCCUCCGCCCCUCCGUCGGGGGACACCCCAGGCUCCGCGUAUGCCGCUCGACUUAACCCCCAAUCGGCGGCUAAACAUAGCCGUUGCGCGCCCCCUGCUAUUCUGGGGAGGAAGGCGGGGUCUGGUUGGCGGUGAAGGUCUGACGACAUGGAGGUCGAUGUGCAGGUGCGGACCCAUGCGCAGGGCGAGGGCGAUGCCGGGCGUGGCGCCGCCGCGGAGGGGGACGCGGCCUUCUCGUGGGCACCCGUCAUACUCCCGUAAGCUAUCUGUCAGCCACCUCUCGAAUUUUAGCAUUUGGAGAUUAUCUGGAGUGCGGGGUAGGUGUUGAAAUCAGAAAGGAUGCAUUUAUGGUCUGAUUCGACCUUGCACACGUUCUGAUUGAAGCAACCGAUUAAACUGUGAUCCUUCACUGCAUAGACAGUUUAAACUGUGAUGCUUCAACAUGGAGCAGUCAUAGAAUGUAUGAUGAUGCAGAGUAAUCUAGGAUCUGUUUAAUAUUUCUGUACAGACUGAUGCUUGCCAUAGCAAUGCUUCUUGGUGUAGAGUUUCGAGAAUAAACAAAUAAAAUGGGGUAAUCAGGAAGCCUAUCCAGAUUGCAGCCUUGCAGUACUGAUAGAUCACUGUUCGGAACCUAGGUUCUUGUUCCCUGCAUUGGGCGGUCUCCUUUUCGGCUAUGACAUUGGCGCAACCUCUGGAGCAACAAUCUCUGUACAAGUUAGUCCCCGUUUUGGUUUUUUCUGGAAUUUCCUCUAGCUGACAUACAGUCUCACUGCCACUGGGUGUAUUCUUCUUCAGUCUGCUGAUCUCAGUGGCACCACUUGGUUCAACCUGUCAUCUGUGCAACUAGGCCUUGUGGUAAUCCAAAUUUCUGUGAUUCCUAAGCUUUUGUAUCUCCCUUUUCAUAUCAAUUAUCAAGAUCCAAAUGAGUUUCCUUUUCCUUUUAUUCAGGCAAGUGGUUCACUUUAUGGAGCUCUUGGUGGCUCUAUUCUCGCAUACCGCAUUGCAGAUUUUCUAGGUGAACUGAAAAGCUAAACCAAUUUAAUUGUCCUUACCAUACUUGUUUGAUAAGGGGGUGAAUAACUUCUACCAUCUUGAUACAGGAAGGAGAAUAGAGUUGGUCACCGCAGCUGCAUUAUAUAUUCUUGGUGCUUUGGUCACUGGAUUUGCCCCUAAUUUUGUAGGUCUAAUCAUAGGCCGUAUCCUUUAUGGGAUUGGUAUUGGUUUGGUGAGUACCUGCAGGCACAAAUCUUCUUCCUCCCUAAGAUGAUCCCAGGUUACUGUUAUUAAAAAAAAUCUAAUUUACGAAUGCGUAUAAAAGUGAUUUUCUGGGGAUGAUAAGUACAUUCACUCAAGCUGAGUAACCUGACAAAAUUGUUAUAAACUUAUAAUGUCAUGAUGCCUCAUUAUAGUUUUCUGAUAUGCUAAUCAUUUACUGAAGUGUGAAGUAGCAAAACUAAUUGAUGUCACUGUAGCUUGAUGGUCAUGUUCUGAUAUAACUAAUUAUGGAAUAAGUAGAUAUAAAACAUUCCUGCACUUGAUUAUUCUGAUUCCUAUGAUGGGGUAGAACAUAUUCACUGGUACACCGCAAAAUCAAGCUGGUUGUAUUGCUAAGAUAUUUAAUAUAAUUUUCUUCUUUAAUUUCUGGGGUGGUUACAUUGCGUGUAGCACUUUACCCUAGCCUUUUUGACACCAACUUUCAACAUCCAUAAGCAUCAAAAUUUCCAUGGUUCCAUGCUUUCUUAAAAUGGGAUUCGUAGCAAUUGAAGAGAAUUACAGUUGCAAAGGAGCAUAUGAAUAUUUAGCUAGGGGUUUGGGAGAGUUUAUAGACCAAUGCUGUCCUAAAACAUUUGGUGUUAUGCCACUGAACCAUUAUGGUGCUAUGUGCCAGGCAAUGCAUGGUGCCCCACUUUAUAUUGCAGAGACUUCUCCUCCGCAAAUACGUGGAACAUUGAUAUCUUUGAAGGAGCUGUUUAUUGUGUUAGGAAUACUGGUAAUUAUCUAGUCUUCUGUAUAUUAUACUUUAAUAUACCCAUUUCAUGCCUGCUGACCAUUAAAUAUCUUGCGCAGUUCGGAUAUCUUGUAGGAAGUCUUGAAAUUGACAAUGUAGGAGGAUGGCGGUACAUGUUUGGUUUUGGCGCUCCGCUUGCAGCUAUCAUGGCUAUUGGUAUGUGGACUUUACCACCUUCACCAAAAUGGUUACUUCUCAGGGCAGUUCAAGGAAAGGGGUCUAUGGAGGAUAAUAAAAAGAAGGCAAUUCAAGCCCUUAGAACGUUGAGGGGCCGCUCAACAAGUGAAAAGGUUUUAGCAGAUGAUGUUGAAGAUACCAUUGUCUCUAUUAAGGCAGCCUAUGCAGGACAGGAAGGUGAAGGGAAUAUUUGGGAGGUAUUUGAAGGAGCUAGCUUGAAGGCCUUCACCAUUGGAGGAGGUCUUGUUCUGUUUCAGCAGGUAUUUUGUUCUCUUUAACCCAUGUAUUAGCAGGUUAUUCAAGUUAAAGUUCUGGCCAUGCUCUUAUCUUUUAUUUUUUUAAUUUUAUGCCCUUUUUUUAUCUAUUUUCAAAAUACGGAUGAAUGCUACUUCUUUUUGAGUGGUAGCGUAGACAUGCUGGAUUUUUGUUAUAAAGCUAAACUCUUACUUGACAGAUAACAGGCCAGCCAAGUGUUCUAUAUUAUGCAGCUUCGAUACUUCAGGUACCAAUAUUUUGCUUGGAAUUGUUUGGUGGUAUAGUUUUUAUAUAGAAAAUGUAGAAGUAGGAUACUGUUAUCUGCCCUAUACAUUUCUUGAAUUCAUACAACUCAACGUCUCCAUCUCUAAAGUAUGCCUUAUGUAGACUGCUGGGUUCUCAGCUGCAUCAGAUGCUGCCAGAGUGGCAAUUUUGAUUGGGUUGUUCAAGGUAAUGCAGAAGAUCUACUUCAAUACUUGUAUAUUAGCUGUUUCUGAAUCAUUCUGUGUAGGUAAAAAUGUAAGGAUCUUAUGCUUUCUAUUAGUUUUGAGUUUGUGUAACAAUUCUAUUCUUCGCAGUUGCUAAUGACAGGUGUUGCGGUACUGAAAGUUGAUGAUCUUGGAAGGCGCCCAUUAUUGAUAGGAGGUGUUGGUGGAAUUGUGAGUAUUUGUUCCUUCCUGUUAUUUGAUUAAGUUCUACAUAUUACAUGGAAAGCCCCAUACACACACUUGAAUUCAGUUUGGCAAUUCCACUAAACAUGAACACUGACAAUACUAAUAUUUUAGGUAAUGUAUUAGACUACAACUCUACAUUAGAAUAAGAUAAUUGGUAAACGUAGUAACUUUGUGCAUGUUCUGUCAGGUUUGCAUUCCUAUGUUCUAACUAAAUUGCCUUAUGUUAUCUGUAACCUGUAAAUGCAGGCUCUGUCACUCUUCCUUCUUGCAGCUUACUACAAGAUCCUGAACAACUCCCCCUUUGUUGCUGUUGGCGCUUUACUUCUUUAUGUUGGUGCUUACCAGGUUGGUGCGUUAUUCUGCACGGGGAGCCUGACAAGCACAGCAAUAUUUUUUUCAGGAAUCCACAAAAAGCUUAUACAUCCAUGUGUUUCAGGUCUCAUUUGGUCCAAUUAGUUGGCUAAUGGUGUCUGAGAUAUUUCCACUGCGAACAAGAGGGCGUGGGAUCAGCCUUGCGGUACUAACAAAUUUCGGCUCAAAUGCGUUGGUGACAUUCGCGUUUUCACCCUUGCAGGUAUUGCUUCUCAAGUUCUCAUAUUGCUACCUCCUGGCUCCUGACGUGCAAUUUCAUGAUGUUUAGUUUCUGCAAGUGGAGUCCCCAAAUUACAUGAACAACUAAACGUGUCAAUACCUAGUAGUUGCGACCAAUGAAUCCUUUCUCAAUAAAUACUCAUUUUUAUCCUUGUCAUAGAAAAACUGCUGUUCCCUGUUCUAUGGUCCAAAUUCAGCAUCUUAUCAGGUCCAAACUCCAGACUAGUGUUUAUUUUUGUGUGUGUAUUUCAAAACUCCACCCUCUGCCAACUGAUCUCCAACGCUGGGGUUACCGGACUAGUGUAUUUUGGCUAUCUAUUCGAAUACUGAUAUAGCCUUUUUCAUUUUGCACAAAUACGGGAACAAACAAUACGUGCAGUUCUGCCAACAAUUUAUAUUUCUCUUUUCACCACAGGAAUUCCUUGGGCCAGAGAAUAUAUUUUUCCUGUUUGGGGCCAUAGCAGUGCUCUCCCUUGUGUUUGUGAUCCUCAAUGUUCCCGAGACAAAAGGACUGAGCUUGGAGGAGAUUGAAUCUAAGAUCCUGAAGUAAAAUGGCGUGGUCAAGGCUCCACAAACCCCGGUUGUUGGCCAGAAAGAUUAAUGCCGUUUACAACAUGGAUGCUCACUCGUAGGAUCAGAGUGCGUCAGUCUCAGACUUAGUAGCGCAGUUCACGUCUAGAUGUAAAGUUUUUCCUUCUUGUAAUUAAUAUUUCUGGAUAUGCAUUUGUAGCUACCAAGUCAUAACCACGUCCCAAUUGUCCAUUGCAUCUCAUCCCAUAGCAGCAGUAAGUAAUCGACUAAUCGUCGUGUUCUUGUGACUAUGCUGUAUGUGCUGGUGAGCUGCCGCAAUGAGGACGUCCCCAGUUACCCCCACUGUUUAGUUUUUGUUUUCUGGAACUAUUUUACCCCUACUGUCUGCUGGUGUGAAACUAUGCUGCAGAAAUUUGUUUGUACUUGCUCACUGAUGCUUACCUGUUUAGGUAAGCUAUUUUUCUCUGUUUUAUUUCCCGAAAAAAAAGGAAUGCCGAUGGGGGAACGGCGGAUGUCUUGGGAAGUAGUUUGGCGAUGGAGAAAAGCCAGCAUUACUGUCACUACUGCUCACAGAUGGAUGCAUCUGCAACUAGACUUUGUUUAGCAUCAGGACUGGAGUGUCACCGAACCAAACAGACAUCACAAUCAAGGAGCUCAUGAACAGAAAUGUAAAUCUGACCGACACAUUUAAUACUUGCUUAUCCAGCAUUUGAUUACUACUUAUCCUAACGCAUCUGGCCCAUAUUGCGCGUCCUGGUGGGGUUUGGAAUCGUGCAUUAUAUACUCUUGAUUCAGGAAUAAGCACACCACGGCAACUACUCCGUAUUCAGAUUUUUUUAUAACAAAAUGCAUUAGGAAAUUGAUCCGGUAUCCAGUGUGCUAUUUUUCGUAGAAUUUUCAAGAUAUUGAGGUACGCAACGGAAAUAUGAAAACACAUGAAAAAUGACAUGUCCUGUCGUGUCAUCGUGUGUGGUCACUGAGCUGAGCUUUCAUGCGUCUCCAUAUAGCUGACUAAGCUGAGCAGUUAGGUUCUUGCUUAUCAAACACGUAAGAAUGCAAACACUAACUAUAAAGUUAUAUAUUGUUCCAGGCAGGACUGCGAGAAAGGGAGAUUCUUCAUCCAGUUCGGUUGCGAUUCAGAAGUGCGAGUAGUACAUGAUCAACAAGGAGGGAGGGAACACGUCGUGCCGACUUGAUUGCCUCCAUCGUGGUGGCGGCAGCAGCAGCAACCCGACCGACGAGUCAGUCGCCGAGUAUGAAGUGGGAGCGAGACCGACGACGAUGUGAACCUCCCGCCCAGACCACGACAAGCGGGGGAUCCCGGCGACCUCGUCUAGUCUGGGCGUGGCGGCCGGAGGCCAUGGUCAUGCCCUGGCUGUUGCAGCCUGGCCAUGGUCCAGUUGCCAAAGUCUCCCAGGUCCCAGCGCUAUUCUUUCGGUGCUACACGACGUGCACGUUCCCUCGUGACGUGACGUGGACUUGCACACCAACAAAAGUCUCGGGCUCCGCCGUGCCGGGACGACCCUCCCUCUUGCGCGCGCACACGCGCUCCACGUGCAGGCUCCACGGCUUUCUAAUCUUACCAGCCAUGCUCCACCACCAAACAAUUAAUCCUAGUCUAGAUUCCAAAAGCAAACACCCAGUGCCAUGCACCACAGUUGCACAGGUGAUAAAAAGCACUAUGACUUGUCAAGCAAACUCGUGUUACCAGGCUAGCAGCUACCGUUCCAAUCCACCCGUCGCGCGUCAAGACUACUCGUCCUUUUCAUCAAACAGCAAUGCGACGGACGGUGCGAGUGUGACAACACUCUUAGUAUGACUGACGAUUAAGGAUGGCUUGCUUAUUACUCCCUUCACGUCGUUUUGAUUUUUUUAAUUCAUAGAUAUUAUCACUACUAGGAAAAACAGCUCUAGUAUCGGUUGAGAACCCUCCUCUAGUAUCGGUUUCGCAAUCGGUACUGGCAAUUCGGUACUAGAGGGGUAGAGGGGGAUCGUUUAGUACCGGUUGAAAUAACCGGUACUAAAGGGUAUUAAAAAAAUUAAAAAAACAAAAAUCCCCCUCCCCCGCCGCCUGCCCCUCCACCCGAAGCCGCUCAACCGGCCACUCCCCGCCGCCCCGAUGGCCGCCGCCACCGUGCCUCGCCCCACCGCCACUCCUCACCUCAGGCACGAGGUGAAGGGUGAGUGGAGGGGGAGGAGAGGGGAGGCCGGGGAGGGAGGGAGGGGGCUGGUAGCCUGGAGAGGGAGAGGGAGCGGAUGGAGAGAGGAUAUGAGGAUGAGGGAGGUGGAGCGGAGGGAGCUGAGGAUAAGGACGACCACUAAGGGGGCCAGUGCUUGGCGCGCGGACGGAAAACACUUCAGUACCGGGUGGAGCCCCCACCUGGUACUGAAAGGGGGUCACGGAAGGCUCCUCGGGGACUAUCCAUUAGGUUCGGUACUAAACAUUAGUAUCGGGCUAAAAAGUGACCGGUACUAAGCCUUAGGAUGAGAGGUCAUUUUUCUAGUAGUGUAUUAUGUACCUAAACACAUACUAACCUAAAAAUGAUCUACAAUUUGGAACAGAAGGAGUAGUAUUCAGCUAGCAUUGACUAAGCAAGCAAGUUCAAUUCUUUGCUGGGACGAUGGUGUCCUAAUUUUAUUUCGAUUGGUGACGAGGUGAGUUGCCUGAUGUAUCUGGCCCAUAUGGCGUCCUGGUGGGGGGAACGGGAUCGUGCAUCGUGCCAGCCGGGAAUUAAUAGAAGAGGUCACAAACUCACAAUGAUCCCAACCAGGCGUUGGGUUAAUUAGUGGUUCUAUAGGGACUUUGGAAUCCAAAAAAUACUCCUUUUAGAAAGACAAGCAAGGAAUCAAGCGCCGCGCACCUGACCGGGAAUACGGACAGAAUUCUGCCAUUCAGCACUAGUGCUAAUCAAGCGAAGAUUUCUAACGGUGAAAUCUGACUAUCAGUGACGCUGGUGCUCCCAUUUUUCUAAAUUUAUUUUGGAAUUUAACCGUCGCUAUUCUUUCAGUGGUAGACGGCAUGCCUGUUGACAGCGAGACGAUAGUGGUGCCUUAAUUUUUCGAAGGUGCUUAUAGGAGUAAGGUUGCGUGCGUGUAUUCGUAAUGGUGAGUCUGCAUACAUGUACGUGAGUGUCUGCAUGUGAUUUGAGAAAAAAUAGUAGUGUUAAUCAACAAGGUAAUUAACCCGUCGUGCUGACUUGAAUGCGUCGGCAGCUGCCGGUUGAACCUGGCUCGCCGAGUGACUGAGAGUGAGACUGCCAACCUGCCCAACGAACGAGGGACAGACACUCCCCUCUCCCUUACUUCGUUGUCAAGACGUGUGUUUGGUUGCUUGUAUUAUUUGGUUCGUAUAUGGAAUAGUUUAAAAUAAUAAUAAUUUUUUUAUUUGGUUGGGUGAAUUGUACCGACCUAUCUAGGAUGAAGUCAUCCCACUCAAUACAUUAUUCUAUAAAUAAUUAUGAACUAUAUGGUACAAGUAAAUUGAUUGAACCUACGAUCAAAUAUCAUCCAUAUAUGCAUUGCAGUCCUCGGUCCCGGAGUACGCCUGCGACCCGCGAACACACCGUCCGUCACGCCUGUUCAAUCAGCUGUUCACAGUUGCUGCUGCCCAUGGGCCUCACGUGCUUCGAUCUAGAUGCCUAGUGCCCACUUUGAGCAUCUUCCCCAUGAUAGUCUUCUUCUGACCAUCUUUCUUGAACGCAUACAUCACUUGAGCACCGUAAUCCUGUGCUCCAUCUGCGAAGGCCCAUCUAUAUGCAUGUCACCUAGGUGUUAGGGCUUCAAAGAACUGAACUUUGAGAUCGCUUUUGGUGGCUAGGAGCAACUUCACACGCUGACAUCAUGCAUUUCUUUUUGAACUAAAUUAAGGGCCUGUUUCAGCUUAGCUUCUCGGGUCUACUUUGGAAAGCUGAAACAAACAGUCCAGCUGUUGAAAUUGCUUUUGGAAAGCUAGCUUCUGAGGAAAUGAACUGAAAGCUGGAAAGCUAACUGAGAGGAGCUUUUCCUAACUUUUGGUGUGUUGAGAAGAUAAAAAUUUAUUACAAAAGUCAAUAGCAAAAGAUCAGCAAUCAAAAAGUCAAUUUUCACAUAGCUAGCUUUCCAGCCAAAAACUCAGGACGUUCGGCGGGCCUGUCCUCAUUGUUGUUUUUUCUUUUUUGGGAUAAUACGCUUGGUAGCAAUCUUUCUAACUAAAUCUAAGGACACACAGGAUAUGACAUGGACGAUAGGAGAUGAUUAUGAGAAGAAUGUUGUUGGUGCACUACACGGGCAACCACAAUGUGGUAGAAAAGUAGUCCAUAUGUACUUUUAUUUUCCAUUCAGCCACCUAGUAACAUUGUGCAAGUAAUCCAUAUGUAGGAGUACAAAUUAAUUUUCGGUUAUCUAUAGGAAAUGGUAGUGUUAAUGGCAACAACAUGUUUUGGAAGUGGAUAUAUAACACACAAAUUCCGUACCUUUUUGUGUGUUCGAGAGGAUCCGUGUCCCAACUAGUUUAGUCUUGUUUGGCGAUGACACAUGCACCUACAUCCAGGACCUUAGGGUUAGGAUUAGUGGGUUUUCAAUGUUAGAACUUGGGUUUUACCAUUCUCCGAAAACAGAUGCAAGGGAAGAAGGCAAUCUUGGCAGUGGAAUCAACGGUGCAUUGACAUUAGGGCGGAAUGUAGUGAAGCAGCGGCAUGAAGAAGGUAGCUAAGUAUAAUGGUAUUACAAGGGUGAUGGGAGACGACGAUGAGCAGAAUGUUGCGGCUUGCCGAAGCAUAACCUACUAUUGUGGUUGGAGCACCGACAAGUAUGGGCAACCGUACAGCCGUAGAGGAGAGGGGAGGGUGAGCCGAUCAGGGAUGUUAGGUAAUUUUCUCUUAAUGAAAUACGUGCUAGUGAAAAAAAGGACGUUAGGCAAACAGAUGGGAGCAAUGGAAGAAGGAAACGACGUCAAUGUUUGAUCACCUAAAAAUCGUGUGUUUUCAGCAUUAGAAUCACUAUGAGUGAGAAGUAGACAGGUAAAAACCUCAAGUACCAUGCCACUACUUGCACCAGUCGCAGUAUAGUGUCCAAUAAACCCACAAAUGCAGCGUCAAGACCUGUCGUUCCUACCUCUCCGAUCCUAUGAAGCGAGCAGCCAGCCAGCGCCGUUCCCUCUGAUGCCGUCCACUUCCACGUCCCUCCCGUGCUGCCGUGCACGACAAACCCAGGCGCUCGUGCCGGUGUAGCCAUAGCCCCGAUGACUUUGACGACGCGCUGGGAUUGUUGCGGCCGGAAGCUAUAAGCCGAGCACGCCGGCCGAUCGCUGAGAGAUCAACGUGUCUUGUUCCAGCUCCACCAUGGCGUCUGUUCUUGCCGCGGUGGUGCCCGUCCUGCUCGCUCUUCUGGCUCGAAGCGGAUCACCGGCCGCAGCCGGCGCCGCCACCGAGUUCGUUCUCGCCGGCUUCGCGGGUGCGAACUUGACGGCCAGCGGCGCGGCCGUGGUCACCUCCUCCGGCCUCCUUCGGCUCACCAACGAGACCAACGAGGCGUUCGGGCACGGCUUCCACCCCGCACCGCUGCGGUUCAAGGACGCCUCCACGGGCGCGCCGGUCUCCUUCUCCACCACGUUCGUGGUCGCCAUCCUGCCGCGCUACCCGGACGCGCACGGCCACGGGCUCGCUUUCGCGCUGGCGCCGUCGGCGACCGUGUCGGGAGCCGUGGCGGGGAAGAACCUCGGGCUUUUUAACACGUCGAACCACCUCGGGAAUGGGCAGAGCGAGGUCGUCGCUGUCGAGCUCGACACGGCGAUGGACGAGGAGUUCGCCGACAUCAACGACAACCACGUCGGCGUCGACGUCAACAGCCUAAAGUCCAAUUGCUCGAAGCCAGCGGGCUACGUCGCCGACGCCGGCACCGUCAAGCUCAACGUCAGCUUGGUCUGCGGGGACCCCCUGCAGGUGUGGAUCGAGUACGACGGCGCGAGCACGCGCCUCGAGGUGACCGUGUCACCGGCCGGCGUGCCCAGGCCGGCCGUCCCGCUUGUGUCUUGCGCCGUCAACCUCUCGUCGGUGGUGGCCGACGGCACGUACGUCGGGUUCUCGGCCGCGAACGGCGCUGCCUCGAGCUCGCACUACGUUCUCGGCUGGAGCUUUCGCCUCGGCGGCGGCCGCGCGCCGGACCUCGACCUGUCAAAGCUCCCGCGGGUCCCGUCGUCUAGGCCCAAGAAGACCAUGCAUCCGCAACUGGUCCUGGCGCUGAUCCUGCUUGCCGUCGUGGCGCUCCUCGUGGUGUCAGCGGGCGUCACGCUGUUCGUCGUCUGGCGCCGGCGGUUCACCGAGGUGGAGGAAGAUUGGGAGUUGGAGUACGGACCUCACCGGAUCAGCUACAAAGACCUGCACGCGGCGACCAGAGGCUUCCGCGACGUCAUCGGCGCCGGCGGCUUCGGCCGCGUGUACCAUGGCGUGCUCCGGCGGUCGGGCACGGAGGUCGCCGUCAAGAAGGUGGCCCAUGACUCGCGGCAGGGCUUGCGCGAGUUCGUCUCGGAGAUCGCGAGCAUGAGCCGGCUGCGCCACCGCAACCUGGUCCAGCUCCUCGGCUACUGCCGGCGACGGGGAGAGCUCAUACUCGUCUACGACUACAUGGUCAACGGCAGCCUCGACAAGCACCUAUUCGACGCUGAAAACAGGCCGGCGCUGAGCUGGGAGCGGCGCGCCAAGAUCAUCCGCGACGUUGCCGCCGGGUUGCUGUACCUGCACGAGGAGUGGGAGCAGGUGGUGGUGCACCGCGACAUCAAGGCCAGCAACGUCCUCCUCGACACCGACAUGAACGGCAAGCUCAGCGACUUCGGCCUGGCGCGGCUCUACGACCACGGCAGCGAUUCGCAGACGACGCACGUCAUCGGGACGCUCGGGUACCUCGCGCCGGAGAUGAUCAAGACCGGCAAGGCCACCCCGAGCGCCGACGUGUUCGCGUUCGGCGCCUUCCUGCUCGAGGUGGCCUGCGGCCGGAGGCCCGUGGAGUCACUCAGCAACAACAAUGCGGACCCGGCGGGGCUCGUCGACAACGUCCUCGAGUGCUGGAAGACCGGGAGGAUCAGAGACGCCAGGGACCCGAGGAUCGGCAAGUGCGACGAGGACGACCUCGAGCUGGUGCUCAAGCUCGGGUUGCUAUGCUCGCACCCUGAUCCCCGGUGCCGGCCGAGCAUGAGGCAGGUGGUGCAGGUACUGGAAGGCGCCGCGCCGGUGCCGGAGACGCCGCCGGAAGAUCUAGGCAGCAGCGGCAGGACCUUCGGGUACUACGAGACGUUCGAUGAGUUCCUCAACAUGUUCCCGACGACGAUCGAGGUGGCGACCGUCACGCCGCGCCUUGGUCGCACUCCAGCGCCGAACACCAGCACCUGAUCUCCGGCGGAGUUCUGGCUCUGCCAUCAGCUCUCGUCAAUAAAUUACAAAAUUCUCUUGUAACUAAAUUCAAAUUUCUCUUACCACUAAAUUGCUACAAAAUCGCUGUGAUGUGCUUAGGAUGGUUCAAAUUGGAAAGCAAACAGUUACAAGAUUAGGUGUUGUAAUAAUCUUGUCUAAAGAAGUGAACAUAGGUUGUCAGACAGUUUUAGGAUGAUCAAAGAGUGGUUUUGCUUUCAUAAGUCCUAACACCUAAUUAACCUAAUCGUUGAGGUUUUGUACGUGUAAUUUUUUUUCUGCAAGUGAGUAAUCGUUGAAGUUUUGUAUGUGUAAUCUUUUUUGUAAGUGACCAUAUGAGAUACUAUAAUCUCCGAAAUGUUUUUCUACAUAUUCAUCAUUUUAGAUUUAUAUAUUUUUGAGAUAACUCAUCUUGUAAGUGAUAAGAACUAAAGAUCAUGUUACCACUCAACCAUCAAAAUCACAAAUAAUAAUCUUUUUUUUCCUUAUAUCCUCCCUUCGUUGACCGCAACAUUGACCUACGCAUCAUAGAACAAGCAAACCGGUUCAUGCAACCCAAAAUCCCCACAUUUAAAACUCUGUACCUGUAAUGCAGUGUGCCGUUGCAUCCUCCUCAGUCCCACACGACACGAGCAAGGCAUCAGCCAUCACUCCCGUUUGUCACAAACACAGCCAAAUCCGAUCGAUGUGAACGGCAUCGACCGUUCACCCAGCUAUUCUCUGUCGUUCAUACCUGGUCGCUCGGUUCCCCAGCGAAAUAACAUAGGCAGACCCCCCGCACAUAGCUCUGGCCCAGAGAAUGACUUGAGAUCCUGGCAUCUCUCGAGCGAGCAACUCAGACAUUCGAGUGAUUGACCAUCGAGCCAACACGUGGGGUGGUGCCGACCUGAACGCAUCCAUCAUCGAGUGCCUCUGCCUGCCCAACGCCAACGAACGCCGGCCCGGACCUCGCUCGACCUCGUCGUCAACAAGGCCGGCCGGUCCCGGAGUACGGCGGCCAUACAUCCGGCCUGUGGAAUGCUAAUAACAUGGGAUGGACCUGGCUGGAGAUAUCCAGCAAUGACCACACGGUGUGCAUCGUCCCAAGCUGCAGAGUCAGUCAGUCGUCGUCUUCUAUCACAGCAAACGCAGUACAGUAUUUAAGUAGUGACAGCUACCUGUUCUUGGGUCCCUCUCUGAAUGUUGUACAUGUAUCCGCUGAAUCUGCAUGCAAAUACAGACGGCAGAAGUAGGGACUGAUGACUUGAGGUCUAGACGUCUAAUUAAGCUGAUGUCGACCUCUGGGUACGUAUGCUAUUUACCAAUUUACCACCAUGUUGUUGAUCAAGAUCAGAUAACCACGGUGCUUGUUGCCAGCCUAGAAGGUGCGGUGUGAUGGACAGAGACGGCGGUCACUGCUUGCGAGUGUGGUGCAUGCUUUUGCAUUGCCUGGCCGUUCGUCUGCAAUCGAUAUGAUGUUGUUCAGCUGCCGCGUAAGCUAGGCAAGUCGAUCCACAACUUGGCCGGCAAUUUGCAGUUUCCUUGGCUACGUUAUGCCUCUGGUUAGUACAGUACUAGCUCCAAACUCCCAACUGAAUGCAUGCGAAUGCAAACCACACAGAAGUCUCGAGCUGAAGGGGCCAUUAGCUGGGUAUGUGACAGGGAAUGCGAAUUUGACUUUUGGAAUGCAUGUCGUCGUUUUCCACUGUGAGAAUGACACCUCUACUUGUGUCAAAUUCAGCAAAAACCUAAAGAAUGAUUUGCAAAUUUUAGAUCAAAAAUUUUUACGUCAUAUAUGAAUUGGAGUUUUGCAAAUUCAAAGGUAUCUUAAAGUGAGACACUACACGGCAAAAGCAAUGUGGUGCAGUGCUCCAUAUGAAUAUGCAACACACAUAUAUAUCCUCACUGACAUUUUGCGGAGCUGAAUUUCCAGCAUCUAAAACAAAACAAAAAGGAAUGGGAAAUCUAUAUGUGACUUGAGUAUUCCCUUCAAUAAUUUCUUUUCCGAUUUCAGCUACAUGCACAUAUGACAUCCCUGCUUCAUGUCCGGCAAGAUCAGGGUUCCAGAUUUGGGGAAUUGGAGGCUGCAUUAGAGGAUUUAGAGGGGAGGGAUGUGAAUGAAGGUUAGCCUAGCAGUGGAGGGCCACGGUGGCCACAACGGUGAAGUAGCAUGUGACGGAGGAUGGGCACUGCUGGGGAUCGCCAAAGAACUAAACACCCUCGAGCGCCAUUCGUGGGCAUAGUUUUCCAAAUGGGCCGCCCGGCCCUAGCCCGGCACUAACCCAUCCUGGCCCAGCACUAAUAGGCCCGAAGGGUUUUCGUGCCGGGCUGGGCUGGCACUGCGUGCCGAGGAGGCAGCCCAGGCCCGGCCCGACGACCUUUUUAUCGGGCUGGGCCAGCCCACAACACGACGGGCCAUGCCGUGCUAGUGCCCGGCCCGGCACUAGCAGCAGCGGCCGGCUCCAGUUGCCCUCGGAGGGCGGCGACGGUCGGCGGCCGGCCCCCCGCGUCGGCCCCUGGCGGCGGCGGCGGCGGCGGCUGGCCCCCCGCGUCGACCUCGGGCAGCUGCGGCGGCCGGCCCCCCGCGGCAGCCUCGGGCGACGGCGGCUGGCCCCUUGCGGUGGGCAUGGCGACCACCGUCGCCAAGCAAGCAGGAAGGUGGGACUGUGGGAGGACCCUGGGAGGCGGACGGGUGGAUGGUCAAAUGGGGGGAAAUUGAAAGUAUAAGUAGGGUUCUGCAUUUAUAUGGUAGUUAGAUCGGGCCACAUCGGGCCGGUCCAAAAAUCAUGCCAGGCUCAUGCUGGCCCAGCGUGCCGGGGAGGCGGCCCAGGCCCGGCACUAUCAUCGUGCCGGGCCAGCCCUGGCACUAUUCACUUCGUGCCGGGCCCGUGCUCGUGCCGUGCUUUUUAGUGUUGGGCCUCGAGCCACCCAACGGGCCUGGCCCAUUUGGAAAUCUUUGUUCGUGGGUAAAAACUCUCUAACCUCGCAAGUUCUUGGUCAAGGAAUAAAACUUGGUUAACCUCGCAAGUUCUUAUGGAAACUAUUCUGGUAGUAAAACUCAUACCCUCGCAUCUUCUUUGUUACUGGAGGGACUCGAAGCUGGCAACUGGUAACUAAUAACUAAACUCCAACUGAGCUAACCCUCGAGUGUUCGGAAUCAGUCCUGAACACCGAGCUUUCAUCUUUUUUACUCUUUACUCAGGAACGGAACCUGAAGGGAGAUUCCGUGAGGUUACAAGAUUCUCAGAGCAACACAACGAACCAGGCGUCACGAGGUUGGACAACUAUCUCAAGCCAAGGGUGGAGACACGAGGCUGGAAGAUCGAUCUGGUGAAGGUGAAGUCCCGAGGUUGGAAGGACGGAGGCGUGAGAAACGUGACCAUAUUGAGGAAUUCAAUUUAUACACGUUACCCCAUGACCUUUAUGUAUGGCAUAUCCUAGAAAUGUAGUGGUUGAGGAAGGACAUUUCGAAAUGUAAAGUGGCUCAUGUGUCACUAUAAUAGGGGAGCUCUACUCCAUUGUAAAGGAAAAUCGAUUGUUUUUUAGAACUUCCAAGUGUUAUCUCUUUUUAUUCACGAAUUUGUUUGGUAUCGAAUUUUUCACGAAUUUGUUUGGUAUCGAAUUUUCUUUGAGACCAACAGGCAAUGAGGAGGUUAGGGUGGGCGCAACUCAUUUCAAUGGUGUAUGGUAGCAUAGUGAUGACAGAUCGAUCCGGUGGUGGGAUCCACCUGAAAUGAGAGAAGAAGGGCGGUAAGGGGCACCACUCAACGCAAGAGGAAGCUCCUCGGUGAGCACAUCGGGAGGAAGAAGGAACUACAAGAAGAAGCCCAAGGAAGAAGAUCUAGUAACUGUUGGAUUUCAAUCCAUGAACAUUCAGAUGUAUGGAAAAGAAAAGAAAAGAAAAGAAAAGAAGCCCGUAAGCAGUAUAGCUGGCCUAAAAAGAGAUACCAUGCAUGGCUUCAAGGAUGGGUCCGGGAUGUGCACUGCUGGCGCAGAACCCAAACACCAAAACAAGCACACACUUGCCAAACGUCACUCUUCAACACUUGUCGUACAGUAGAUUUCUACCUCUCCCAUCCUUGUCGUGCUGUGAAGAUAUCACCCGCGAGCAGCCAAUCCGAGCGCUCCCCGCUCCCAUCCUGGCCCCUCCUCCGAUGCCGUCCACUUCCACGUCCCUCUCGCCCGGCACGGCGCCGGACCACCAGCUGAUCGAGGCAUCGGCGACGACGCGACCAACCCCUACCCGGGCACCAGUAACCGGGACAUGCCUUUAACACGCUGGGAUCCCACUUCGACAGAAAGAUGUAAGCAAAGCAAACGACGCCUCGUUUCGUUCCAUAUCAUGGAGGCGGCCAUUCUUGCCGUGCUGGUGGCCGUCCUGCUCCUCCUCGCCCGAGGCGGAUCGGCGGCGGCGGGGGCCGGCGCAGCCACCGAGUUCGUGUUCACCGCCGGCUUCGCGCGCCAGAACGUGACGACCAGCGGCGCGGCCGUGGUCACGGCCUCCGGCCUCCUGCAGCUCACCAACGAGACGAACGAGGUGUUCGGGCACGGCUUCUACUCGGCGCCGCUGCGCUUCAAGGACGCCUCCACGGGCGCGCCGCUCUCCUUCUCCACCACCUUCGUGUUCGCCAUCGUGCCGCGGUACCCGGACGCGCACGGCCACGGGAUCGCCUUCGCGCUCGCGCCGUCGCCGGCCGUGGCGGGAGCCGUGGCGGGGAAGAACCUCGGCCUGUUCAACACGUCGGAUAACACGGGGCAGGGGAGGAGCGGGAUCGUCGCCGUCGAGCUCGACACGGCGCGGGACGAUGAGUUCAGGGACAUCGACAAGAACCACGUCGGCAUCGACGUCAACAGCUUGGAGUCCGUGAACUCAACGCCGGCGGCGUACGUCGAUGUCGGCACCGGCAGGCUCGUCAACUUCAGCCUGGUCAGCGGAAACCUCCAGCAGGUGUGGGUCGAGUACGACGGCGCGAGCAUGCGCAUGGAGGUGACGGUGUCGCCGGCCGGCAUGCCCAGGCCGGCUGUCCCGCUCGUGUCGUACACCGUCAACCUCUCGUCGGCCGUGGCCGACGACACUUACGUCGGGUUCUCGGGAGCGAACGGUGCGGCCUCAAGCUCUCACUACGUUCUUGGCUGGAGUUUCCGCCUCGGCGGCGGCCGCGCGCCGGACCUCGACCUCUCCAAACUCCCGCCGCUCCCACCUUCAAGAUCCAAGAAGAUGAUGCCGCUGCUACUGAUCCUCACACUGUUCCUAGUUGCCGUCUUGGUACUACUCCUAGUGUCGGGGGCAGUCGUGGUGCUCGUCAGAAGGCGCCGCCGGAUCGCCGAGGAGGAGGAGGACUGGGAGAUCGAGUACGGCCCUCACCGGAUCCGCUACAAGGACCUGCACGCGGCGACCAGGGGCUUCCGCGACAUCAUCGGCGCCGGCGGCUUCGGCACCGUGUACCACGGCGUGCUCCGGCGGUCGGGCGCCGAGGUCGCCGUCAAGAAGGUGGCCCACGACUCGCGGCAGGGGCUGCGCGAGUUCGUCUCGGAGAUCGCGAGCAUGAGCCGGCUGCGCCACCGCAACCUGGUGCAGCUCCUCGGCUACUGCCGGCGACGGGGCGAGCUGAUGCUCGUCUACGACUACAUGGUCAACGGCAGCCUCGACAAGCACCUGUUCGACGCCGGCAAGCCGGCGGCGCUGAGCUGGGAACGGCGCGCCAAGAUCGUCCGCGACGUCGCCGCCGGGCUGCUGUACCUGCACGAGGGGUGGGAGCAGGUGGUGGUGCACCGCGACAUCAAGUCCGCCAACGUGCUCCUCGACGCCGACAUGAACGGCAGGCUCAGCGACUUCGGCCUGGCGCGGCUGUACGACCACGGCAGCAACCCGCAGACGACGCACGUCAUCGGGACGCUCGGGUACCUCGCGCCGGAGAUGAGCAAGACGGGCAAGGCCACCACGAGCACCGACGUGUUCGCGUUCGGCGCCUUCCUGCUCGAAGUGGCCUGCGGCCGGAGGCCCAUGGAGCGCAACGACGACCUCGACUCGCCGGGGCUCGUCGACCUCGUCCUCGAGCACUGGAAGGCCGGGAGGAUCAUGGACGCCAGGGACCCAAAGAUCGGCGAGGGCGACGAGGCCGAUGUCGAGCUGGUGCUCAAGCUCGGGCUGCUCUGCUCGCACCCGGACCCCCGGUGCCGGCCGAGCAUGAGGCAGGUGGUGCAGAUACUGGAAGGCGCUGCGCCGGUGCCAGAGACGCCGCCGAAGGAUCUAGAAAACAAUAACAGGUUGUUCUAUGGAUACAUCGAGUCGUUCGACGAGUUCGCCACCGUGUUCCCGACGUCCGGGACCACCACCGUCACGACACAGCCGUCUUCUUCGCACUCCAACGACGAGCAGCAGGAGGUGAUCUCCGGCUGAGUGGUGACAUCUUCUCUCUUCACCAAACCACCAAAAAGUUCAGUCAUGUGCCUACUUACGGUGGUUGGAACUUGUAAAGGAAAGCAAGUAGUCAUAGAUUUAGAGUCAAAGAGGUGUUUGAUCUUUUUCGAAGUGAACAUAGGAUAUCGUCAGCCAUUUGUAGGGAUGACAAAAACAAUAAAGUUUGAUGUAUCAAGUCCCAACUGCCGAGGCCGGCUAUACCAAUCAGGUUAAUUAUCAUUUUUGGCUGGUGCAUUUCCAGAAGAAAAGACUCUGCAAAUGACAAGUGCAUGAGAACGGGUGGUGGACCACAAUAACCUUAUAUGGAUUGUAGGUGAAACAGUGAAUCUCUUCAAAUUAACAGUUAAAUAAACCUCAAAAGAAGUAAUGAUAUGGAAACAUCAUUUUUGUGAAGAAUCAGAACCCAGGUGUCGCUUUCGCUGGGCAUCAACUUGCUUACAUGGGAAGAAGAUUGUGGCAUGUGAACCAUAAACUUUAUAAUAGAAGUAUUGAGUUUAGAACAGUGGUCAGUGGACUUGGGAAAGAUACGGGAAGGUAUCUGAAAUCUAAAAUAUCUGAACAACCGAAAUAGACAGCACGUACAAGUGACAUGAGGAAGGUCCUAAUUGGAAAAUUACGACAGGCAAUGCCAGCUUCUAUCCAUAUAACAUUAGCUUACAGGUUAGCUGACUAGUUCAUUCAUCUAUAGCCUCAGCCACAAGCAGAAUCAUCAUCAUCUUCCUGGAUGCCCUGUGCAGCACCUUGGAUCAUUUCAUCAUCAACUCCUGGAAGGAAGUUUAGAACGUCUGAUAUUUAGCUUUUGUCAUUACCUGCAGAUAAAGUCUACAAAAGGAAAUACAUGUGGAUGUACCUUCAAUGAAGGAUUCAAAUUCAUCUUCAUUUGGUUCCCUUGGUGCGAUUCGGCUGACUGAUUGAUUAAUCUCCAUCCAGUUUGGUUGCUCAACUGGGCCAGAGAACAGUGCAGGUGUAUCCACAACCCAGUCAUCAACUAUGUCUACGUAGUCCACUGAGACAGGAUCAAAUGCUUUCACCUUGCGCUGUUGUCUAUGAACAAUUAUUAAUAAGAUCGGUCAAUCAAACCAUGUUUUUUUAGCAACACAUUCAAAUUUAACUCAUAAUGGCAAGACUCUAUACAAAAAGAUGAUUCCAUUACCUUUGCUGCAGCCGUAGGUUGUAUUGUACAAAGGUGAGAUCAUGCAUUCGCUGACGCUCAAAACUAUUCAAUCUUUCAUCAUGAACUUGCUCAAAAGGAAUGUGCGCCCGAUCACAUCCUCUAGCGCUGCAGGUUUGACUAAGAAUACGGACCGCUAGACGUGUUAAAUUUGGGCAAGCUCCUCCAUAUGUAUACCACCAUUCAGCUGUAAGAUAAAAUAACAAUAGUAAAGGCAAAAUGUUAAAUAUCACUUAACAAACUUUACAUUGUGACAACAUCAUUAAAGGGAAGCACAAUUUAACUAGGUUCCAAAUAUUGAAAGAAGGCUAACAAUGUAAAGUUUGUCAGAAAAGUCUCAUUUGGUUAGAUAAAACAAAAUAACCCUACAGAUGUAACUCAAGUUUGCAUGACAAAAAAAAACAUAAUACUAGCGUGUAUUACUAGUUAACGAGAAAUUCUUAAAUACUAACCAGGAGGUAAAGUUCGUCUGGAUCGGAUAGCCAUCUGCCUACGAAAAUCCCCUGCUGUCUCACUCCGGUACAUGUUGAGCUCUCGCUGGAUUUUAUCUUGGAUUUUCACAUCAGAAACCAGCCUUUCUAUGCAAUCUAGCAUUCCUGAGAAGAUUCCAUUUGAUACAUCACCUCGAAUUCCAUCAAAAAAUAGUGGAUUCAGGAAGAAACCAGCUGAAUGAAGUGGCCGUGGUGUUUGGUUGUCCCAUCUCCAGUCGAUGAUAUUCCAAUAAGCCAUGUAGUCGUUCUUACUCACUAGCUCUUUCUUGAUUGCUGCUUUGGCCUGGUACAAUCCAGCAUAAAUGUACCCCAUAGCAGGCCUCUUUGUACUACCAACUAGCUUAAGGAGAUGCACAAGUGGCUCGGUGAUGUGAACAACAGCAGCACAAGAGGACCAAAACUGCAAACUAUUAACAAGAUUGCUUACUUCGAUCCCUCCUUUCUUUGGCAGCAAAAAGUGUAUCCAUUCAUCCGAGUUGACCAUGGCUUGCAAAGCCUCCUUCAGACCGUACAUGUUCUUCAGUGUGACAAAGUUCAUAGAAGCGCGAGUCUCUGCAGGAACUAGCAGAUCCUUCCCAUGCAGAUACUUCUUCAUUAGAUUCAAUGCAAAUGCGCUGUUGUAGAAAAAUCCUGUGAGGGCCUUUGCAUUACUUAUUAUCUCACUGAUUGCCCCUACCUUACUGAAAUCUUCAAGCAUGCCAUCGAUGCACUGGAAAGAGCAUGGAGACCAGAACAAUGUUGGAAAUGUUUCACCUAGCUUUUUUCCUGCAGCUGCAUGGAUCUCAGAGUUGUUUGUGAUUACUUGGACAACUUUUUUCUCGCCAACUUCCUCGACAACACUUUUCAGUAACUCAUACAGUGCAUCUGAAGAUGCGACAAUGCUGGUUGCAUCCACCGAUUUGAGGAACAUAGUGCCUUCUGGGCAAUACACUGAAAAGUUUAUCAAGGUUCUGCCUUUAUCAGUGAUCCACUCAUCAGCCAACACCGAGCAGCCAGUCCUUGUCCAUGACCCCUUGAAGAACUCCAACCGAGACGUCGCAUCAUCCAGUGACUUCUUAAGAAUGUGACCACGAAAGUCAUGGUAUGAGAGCGCCUCCGGCCUCCCUCCUGCCGAUGCAAUAGCCUCAAGCAUGGGCUGGAAGUAGACUGAAUUCACUGCUUCCAAUGGCACACCAACAUCAUACAAGAACCUCCCAACUGCCACAGAAACCUGCUCCUUGUCCAAACCAGCAUGUCCGAAAUGUCCUGAUGAUGGUGUAACUGCGUCGACUGCCAUCACAACCUGAUGAAGAGGAUUGGUCUGAGGAGUAGACGGAACAUGCUGCUGCAGAGUCGGGGGAGUAAGUGGUGGAGUGGAGGCGUUACUCAACAUCUUCCUCUUCUUCUUACUGCUGACACUCCCCCUCAUGGUCUCCGGAAGCGGAGGCCUCUGUUCGUCGAGCGGCACGGGUUCGAAGUCCAGCACCUCGUUGAGCGGGAUCAUGUGGAUGGGGCUGUCGGUGGCCCCACCGCUCGCGGCGGAGGCGGGCGACGCGUCGGUGGGGGCGAAUCGCCUCAUGUCGCCGGGCGGGAGUGCGUUGGCUAGCUUGCGCUGCAUCUUCUUGGCGGCGACAGCGUCGAGGCUGCGCAUCAUGGUGUCCUGGACGUCGCGGGGCACCUUGGGGCAGCAGCAGGCGUUCCCGGGGCGGCGGGCCAGGUGCUCCUUGAAGCGGUGGAUGCCGCCGCCGAGGAAGUGCUUGCCGCAGUAGGCGCACUUGAGGCGCACCCGGCCCUCGGCGCGCACCAUGAGGCAGUGCUUCCACGCCGGGUCGUGCUUCUGCGCGCCGAUCUGCACCACCUCCUCCUCCUCCGCCCCCGCCCCGGCCGCCGCCGCGGCGUCAUCCCCCUCCUGCCUCUCCAUCCGGGCGCGAGCACUGCAUCAGCCAUCACCACCGGGCGUCACGAACGGCGCAAUUGGAUUCGAACGCAAUUCAUCGAGAGUCCUGCUGCUAAUCCCCCAAUUAGCCGAUGGCGCGCGCGCGAAAUGAACCUGUGCGGCCCCGCGCGCGCGAACCGAGCGAACCAGGAGAACCUGAAAGGAGUGGGGGAAAGGGUGGGAGGAGCGGGAUCGAGAGAGAAGAGAGAACUCACCCGGGUUUUUGGGAGGCGAAACGGCCGGGCUCCCCCAAAUCGGCGUCCGCCGGGGCGGGGAGGAAGAAAACCAGUGAGGUGGAGGUGAUUGGGGAUGGUGAGCGACGGGCGAGACGUGGGUGAGGAGCGAGCCGGCCGGGUGGGGUUGGUUGGUUGACCUGGCCGAGAGGGAGGGGGAGAGGGAUCGGGCACCGGCCCAGCCGGUUCUCGCGUGGGUUGGUUCGGGUCAGGUCACAUCAGGUUUGGGCUGAUCGGGGCGAAUGUGCCGGACCGUGGGCCGGCCUGGUUGGUUUGGCCGGAGGAGAGUGCAAAGCACUCGUUGCCCCACCCGUCAAACCGGGCAUCACCGGCCGCGGCGCCGGCCCGGAGAUGCUCGUUUCCCGACUCCCGAGGCACUAGCUGUCGCGCAAUGGGUACGGUGCAAGCUGCAGGGGGCAGAUGGGGACAAGUAAACACCUCACUCCACUCCAUCUCAGUUCUCAGCUGAUGGCAAAGAUGAACUGAGAGCUGAUGGCGAAGAUGAACUGAGAACUGUAGCUAGAUUGAGAGCUGGGGAAAGAGGUCGGGGAGGGGGGAUUUCGUUCCGAAGGCCUUGCUACGAGCUGAUCUUACCAUCACCAUUCAGCAGCACCGAGGUAUGGUUCUCUCGGGUCACAAUGUUUGCAUAUCUUUCUGCAGAUCGAGCUAGGUCUAUAUGUUGGGGAAAAUAAUUAGUUUUCUCUUCCCUUUUUGGCUGGGGAAUGUCAGUGAAAAUCGCAUGGGAAACUUCCGUGAGAUUGUGCCCGUGCGUGUGAGAUUUCGGAAAUAUGUAGGACAAAUCCCGGGCAAAAGGAAGAAGUGGCGUGCUCAAUUUAUUCUUCCCCCAAGUGACUGGUUGAACUCGCUGGAGUUGGUAGCUUUGGUUCGUUAUGUGGACCUGAUAUGAUGUGCCAGUAUCAGGAGGGAAGUGCCUUUGAGGGAUGGGAUCAUGGGAAUGAAUCUUUUUUGUUUUUUUGCCUGCUCCCCUUCUCUCUUCUUCUCUGCUCGCAUUUGGGAGACCUGACGCCUACCAGGAAGCUAGGGGAGUUCAGUUCACGUUGAUUUCUUUGUUUGAGAAUUAGUGUCUUUUUUUGGAAAAAGACACGUAGGUUACCCCCGGUAAAUAAUUAGGCAUUAGAUUAGAAAACGUUAUUUGUCUCAUGAUUUAGAGUUACAAGUACUGUACUUCUCGGACACAUUUCAUGGUACCAAAUUAUAGGUCGACCUAUAAUUUGGAACAGAGGGAGUAGUACGUUAAUUUUAGGUUAUGCAUUCUUAGAUGUAAAGUAUGUGUACCUGUAUUUUGUUAGUUGGAUUUGACCAAUUGGUGUCGAUUCUUAGAUGGAGAAUUUUCAGGGUGUGUAGGUUAAGUGGGUGUUUGGUUCCACCUUGCUAAACUUAGUUGCUAAAGUUUAGCAACUUUUAGCUGCUAAACUGCCAAACACCCUUGCUAAAACUUGCUAAAGUUGAGUUGCUAAAGUUUAGCACUUUAGCAAGUUUUAGCAACCAAAAACUUGUCUCCCCCCUCUUGCGCACCUAUACCCCUCAUUUAUUGCUUGUCUCCCCCCUCCUGCGCACCUUUAAUAAGGGUAGAUAGGUCUUUUUAUAGCUCAUUAAAUGUCUUUUAGCAAGAGUAUCCAAACAGCUUUUGCUAAAGUUUAGCAACUUUUAGCAACUAAAGAUUAGCAAGAGGAACCAAACAUGCCCUAAGAUGGAAAUCAACAACUGUAGGUUUUAAGGACGUGAUUUAUGAAACAUUAAAUGGCUCUAUUGUAAUUAGGAUUUUCGCACUAUAAUAAAUCCCAACAGCUGGCAUCACAGUUUGGAUGGAUUUUAUAUGGGAGGCUGAGAGGUCCUAAUUUUGUGUCUUGAACUAGAUAUGUUGGGCCUAACGAAAUUUAGGGUCUUUCUAUCGAUCGAGAUGGUGUUGGUUUCAGCAGUUUUUUCAGUUACAGUGUUUGAAUUCCCAAAUCAAGGGUAGAAUGGGGAGAUGAUGAAAUGGUAGGCAUGCUGUUUUUCUCUAAACCUUAGGAAGUUUAUUUGUGCCCCCAUGCUGGGUGGGAUACAGGUAGCUCUGGUUUGUUUUUCAUAUGGCUUUCUGCAUAAGCAGGGAAGCAUGUUUCAUCUGUAAAGGAAGGGGAAUGCCACUGGAUGUGGUGAAAAUUUAGAAGGAAUGUACUGAAUGGUGAACGCCUACCAGAUGUCAGAAAAUAUGGGUCAAAUGAAACCUUAUUUAGGAAAUACAUCUCUUACGAGGCUAUAGAUUGUGAAUGAACUGAUACCUUUUUUUUCUGCAGGCAUGUCAAUAACCGAGAGCUUCACGAUAUACCAUGGGGAUAAUUUGUUUACAAAUGGACCUGCGGGGGUGCAGCGGAAUCUGGCCGGCCGCGUCGUGUACAAGAAGCUGCUAGGGCCGCAGUACAUGUCGUUCCAGCAAGUGCGGCGCUGGAUAUUGGAGAUGUUCAACGUGGACGAGGUGAGCUUGUGCUGCGGCACAUCGUGCCUGUAAAGCCCAAGAACCAGGCGCGCGCUUACAACAUGGCGGUUGAUAUAGUAUGGCUUGAUUCCUGGAGGACAUUUCUUGAAGUGUCAUUGCGCCAAGGUGUCUCUUUGGUACUCUAUGUUCAGUGGCAGGCCAAGGCGGCGUCAGGUCCCGUUUGUGAAGGCGCUAUCGGCGAGAAGAACAGCGCCACACCUGCUCUGGCUCCAGCUCCGGCCCCGGCAACUGCCCCUGCGCCCACUCCUGCUCCUGCUCCUGCCCCUGCGCCUGCUCCCGCUCCCGCUCCCACCGCUAAAGAGCCCACCGUGGCCGGUGAACAAGGCGGAAGCUGGGACAGGGAGGACCCGGGCCGACGUCUCUACCGCUGCCCUCUGUUGGAGGUACCUUAUACUAGUUCCUUUUCCCAUGCCAUUAUUUGAAGAAAUUUAUAGAUUAGAGAAGUAGUCAAAUCUACAAAUGACCUCGAUUCAUUCCGCUUCCCAGGAUCCUGGGGGAUUGUGGAUUCACGCAGUGGCUGGACGAGGCCUUCCCUGAAAAGGCGACCAUGCACAUCAACAACCUCCUGAGUAGGGAGGAGUGCCUCGAGCAGCAGGUCGAGAACCUCCAGGAGGAGCUCAACGAGCUCCGUCGCCGGUACGUGACCGGCAGCAGCCAUCGUGACGGGCAAGACAGCGAGACACGCCCACGCCAAGUCCGCAGAAUGAUCUAGGACAACUGAUGGUGUACCCUGCUUCUCCCAGUUUGCAUGAAGUCCUCAAAUGUUACUAGUCAUGCUGUCCGUUUCUUGUUCGUUCAACCAUUUGUUCAGUCAUGUUGUUGCUAGAGCAUGUCGCUCUGAACAGUCUGAACCGUGUUCCAAUGUUAUGCCAUCUGUAAUGUAAAUUACUUGCAUCAACGCAUUUACCAUUUCAGAACAAUGUUGGACGUACUUCUUAUUUUGUCGCUACUUGUAUCGGUUCAAGUAUCAUGUCGAACAACCGUACUGAACCCCAAAUCUUGCACAAGUGACAAUCUGAAAGCUGCAAACGCGUUUGAAUCCAUAAAGGUCUGCAAACAGGCGAGAGUGAUCACUAUCCAUUACCACUCAAGAAUUUCUCAUGUUAUCCCCAUGUCACGGUAAAAAGAAUUUGAAUAUUACCAAUCAGUACAACAUUGUAAAAACUUGGAACACCUACAGCAUGAACAAGCGGAAAAGCACAAUAAGAAGCUAUCACUGAUUGACUAGCAGUAGAAGACUGCGCACAUGGAAAACGGAAUCCAAAACAAAUUGGAAUAGAAAUUGUUUCGCGUGUAGUAUAUAUGACCAACUCUUGUGCGAGGAGCACUGAAAAACUUACAAAAAAAAAAA